rnacentral:lncRNA from 1 species
GGCUGCUAUGACCUUGCUCUCAUCCAAGAGCUGUGGCUUUAUAAAGGCCAAAUACGUGGACUUCUAUGUAGGGAAGGUGAAGUGUUUUCUUUUACAUCUCGUACUUCUGAUAGUGGUCCUCAAACCUGUGUUUUUAUUAGGAAAAACAUUUGUGCUUCACCUGUUUGGGACUUCUGUUUUAGAGAUCUUACCACCGUGUGGUGAAGCUAGGGAAGGGAAGUGCAUGUAGGGAAUUUAUUAUUUCCUCUGCUUAUUUCCUUUAUGAUAAAGAUGAACUUCUGCCAACACCUGAGUUUGGGCUUUUGGCAGAAUUUUGUCA